rnacentral:rRNA from 1 species
CCGCGGUAUCCUAACCGUGCAAAGGUAGCGUAAUCACUUGUCUCCUAAAUAGAGACCAGUAUGAACGGCUAAAUGAGGACUUAUCUGUCUCUUCUAAUUAAUCAGUGAAACUGAUCUACCAGUACAAAAGCUGGCAUUUUACCAUAAGACGAGAAGACCCUGUGGAGCUUUAAAUUUUAAGCCAAAACAUUUCUCACCCUAACAUUAACUUUAUGGCUAAAAAUUUUAAGUUGGGGCGACUUCGGAACAAAACAAAACUUCCGAGCAUAAAGGAAAUUCACCUUUCCAAGACUAACACGUCAAAGCAAAAAUAGACCCAGUAAAACUGAUCACCGAACCAAGUUACCCCAGGGAUAACAGCGCAAUCUUCUUCAAGAGUCCAUAUCGACAAGAAGGUUUACGACCUCGAUGUUGGAUCAGGACACCCAAAUGGUGCAGCAGCUAUUAAAGG